rnacentral:rRNA from 1 species
GAUGAACGCUGGCGGCGUGCCUAAUACAUGCAAGUCGAGCGAAUGGAUUAAGAGCUUGCUCUUAUGAAGUUAGCGGCGAACGGGUGAGUAACACGUGAGUAACCUGCCCUUGACUCUGGGAUAACUGCGGGAAACUGUAGCUAAUACCGGAUACGACCCUCGGCGGCAUCGCCAGGGGGUGGAAAGAAUUUCGGUCAAGGAUGGACUCGCGGCCGAUCUGCUAGUUGGUGAGGUAACGGCUCACCAAGGCGACGACGGGUAGCCGGCCUGAGAGGGUGACCGGCCACACUGGGACUGAGACACGGCCCAGACUCCUACGGGAGGCAGCAGUGGAGAAUAUUGCACAAUGGGCGCAAGCCUGAUGCAGCGACGCCGCGUGAGGGAUGAAGGUCUUCGGAUUGUAAACCUCUUUCAGUAGGGACGAAGCGAAAGUGACGGUACCUAAAGAAGAAGCACCGGCUAACUACGUGCCAGCCGCCGCCGUAA